GACGAACCGUACGAACGUUAUUCGGAAUUACUGGGCUUAAAGGGUGCGUAGGCUGUGCGGAAAGUUGGGCGUGAAAUACCUCAGCUUAACUGAGGAACUGCGUUCAAAACUACCGUGCUCGAGGGAGACAGAGGUAAGCGGAACUUAGGGUAGAGCGGUGAAAUGCGUUGAUAUCCUAAGGAACACCGGUGGCGAAAGCGGCUUACUGGGUCUCUUCUGACGCUGAUGCACGAAAGCUAGGGUAGCGAACGGG
rnacentral:rRNA from 1 species